UACGUAGGGUGCGAGCGUUAAUCGGAAUUACUGGGCGUAAAGCGUGCGCAGGCGGUCUGUUAAGACCGAUGUGAAAUCCCCGGGCUUAACCUGGGAACUGCAUUGGUGACUGGCAGGCUUUGAGUGUGGCAGAGGGAGGUAGAAUUCCACGUGUAGCAGUGAAAUGCGUAGAGAUGUGGAGGAAUACCGAUGGCGAAGGCACUUUACUGGGCUAUUACUAACACUCAGAGACGAAAGCUAGGGUAGCAAAUGGG
rnacentral:rRNA from 1 species